rnacentral:rRNA from 1 species
AGAGUUUGAUCAUGGCUCAGGAUAAACGCUGGCGGCGUGCCUAACACAUGCAAGUCGAACGCUCUUGGGAGCAAUCCCAAGGGAGUGGCGGACGGGUGAGUAACACGUGGGUACCUACCCUGUGGUGAGGAAUACCGGCGAGAAAUCGCCGACAAUACUGCAUACGUUUGCGAUGCAAACAAAGCUCGGGAAACCGGGUGCCAUAGGAAGGGCCUGCGGCCGAUUAGCUAGUUGGGGGGGUAAAAGCCUCCCAAGGCGACGAUCGGUAGCUGGUCUGAGAGGACGAUCAGCCACACUGGGAUUGAGAACGGCCCAGACUCCUACGGGGGGCAGCAGUGAGGAAUUUUCGUCAAUGGGGGCGACCCUGAACGAGCAACGCCGCGUGCAGGAUGAAGGUUUUCGGAUCGUAAACUGCUUUUCUCUGGGACGAGAACGGACGGUACCAGAGGAAGAAGCCCCGGCUAACUACGUGCCAGCAGCCGCGGUAAUACGUAGGGGGCAAGCGUUGUCCGGAUUUAUUGGGCGUAAAGCGCACGCAGGCGGUCUGCCAAGUUCGGAGUGACAGUUUCCGGCUUAACCGGAAAAGGUCUUCGAAAACUGGCGGACUUGAGGACUUGAGGGGGAGACGGAAUUCCGGGUGGAGCGGUGAAAUGCGUAGAGAUCCGGAGGAACACCGAAAGCGAAGGCAGUCUCCUGGCAAGUUCCUGACGCUCAGGUGCGAAAGCUAGGGGAGCGAACAGGAUUAGAUACCCUGGUAGUCCUAGCCGUAAACGAUGGCCACUAGCGUGGGGGGGAUCGACCCCUUCCGUGCCGCAGCUUACGCAAUAAGUGGUCCGCCUGGGGAGUACGGUCGCAAGAUUAAAACUCAAGGAAUUGACGGGGACCCGCACAAGCAGCGGAGCGUGUGGUUUAAUUCGAUGCAACGCGAGAACCC